GGGGGACACUGAAGGGAGAUGAGAGGAACAAGCACUGGGGUGGUUCUAGGUCUCUCUGGGACCAGCCACUCCAAAGAACACAACCAGUGCAUGCUGAUCUUAUCUUCUUUCAGACCCUGCAACUUCCACGUCUUCUUUAACCCAGAAAGCUUGUUGCAUUUGCAGAAUCUCUGGGGAGAAUAUUAUUAUCAUCUUUAUUAGUAGUAGGUGUUCGCGUGGAGGUGGUCUCAGCUGGAGGACUCCUGGAGUCUGCCCAAAGGGUUCCCAUGACCUCUGGGCUCCACUUACUUCACAAGCCUUGCCCCAGCUCCUCCUGGGCCUGAAGCUGUGUCUGGUGCCUCAUGCCUUUCCAGGUGUUGUGAAUGACACACUGAUGUUGGAGAUCCUUGGCCAUCCAUGUUAUGAACAUUUUUUACUAUUUAGCCAGGUAUCAAAGCUCAAACCAUAGUCUGUAGAAAUAUAAGUUCCAGGAGUGGGGGUCUUGCUAGGUGACGUUGAGCCAGCAGGGCUUUCUGGCGACAGCAAUGACUGUGAUGUUGACAGUUAACGUUCGAGGCUCCUUUCAAUGUUCUCAACUCUUCAAACAAGUGUUCUUUCUGGAAAAGUGUGACUUUUGGAGUCCGCUUUUCUCCUCUUCUCUUGGCAAACGUAAGAAGAUGCACUGAAAUUAAAUGACUAAAAUGCCAUAGUAUGGCAUCGCAAGCAGCGCUGGAAGGCCGUCACUGCAAUUUGUAGUGCACCAGAGUGCAAGGCAAGGAGAACGCACAUCUGGUCUUGGCCACAGCUGCUCAGCCCUGUUGUUAGCAUUGCCCUGGGCGAGCAGCCAUGAUCAGUACACAAGUGAAUGAACAAGACUGUGUGCCAAUAAAACUUUACUUAUCG
rnacentral:lncRNA from 1 species